GGGGAUGUGGCUCAGUGGUACAGCACUUACCUAGCAUGCAUGGGGUACUGGGUUUGAUCCCUAGCACCACA
rnacentral:tRNA from 1 species